rnacentral:rRNA from 1 species
UACGUAGGGGGCAAGCGUUGUCCGGAUUUAUUGGGCGUAAAGAGCUCGUAGGCGGCUCAGUAAGUCAGGUGUGAAAACUCCAGGCUCAACCUGGAGACGCCACUUGAUACUGCUGUGGCUAGAGUCCGGUAGGGGAGCAUGGAAUUCCAGGUGUAGCGGUGAAAUGCGUAGAUAUCUGGAGGAAUACCGGUGGCGAAGGCGGCAUCCUGGACCGGCAUUGACGCUGAUGAGCGAAAGCUAGGGGAGCAAACGGG